GGUUUUGUAGUGUAGCGGUCAUCACAUCGGAUUCUGAUUCGCAUCAGUGUUUUCCGGUAACCCCGGUUCGAUUCCGGGCAAGACCU
rnacentral:tRNA from 1 species